rnacentral:tRNA from 1 species
AUUUAUAUAGUUUAAAUAAAACCUUACAUUUUCAUUGUAAUAAUAAAAAAAUUUUUUUAUAAAUA